UUGGGAGCGCGUCCUCUGUUUUAAGUCAACACCUGUGUGGGUCCGCGUUCUGGCCGCACUGUGGUUAUGUUCCGUGAGGUAGGCAGUUUGACAGUAACGGCCAACAGAAAGCACCCCAGGUGCGUCAUGUUUUUCACUUGGGUCAUCUUCUGAAAUCCAUGGCCAGGGAAGACAGCGGCAGUUCUCACAGCUUCACUUUCUAUACCAGUCAUCCGUCUCCUGUAGCUGCUGAGUGACAUGGGAUAUACAUGAAGUAUCACCAAGAAGAACAGGAGAGGAGGAAAAGGGAAAAACUGCACCCAGCAAACCUGGAGCCUUGUGCUUUUAAAAGUGGAAGACUGAAACCAAGCUACCGCACACCUUAAUCCUGACUGGAUUGAAUCCUUGGACUUAGCUCUUCAUGUAUCUCAGCUGAAUGGAGCUUCCUCUGUGCAGAGAUCCUGGACCCCAAGGACUAUGACUACUGAAAAGGGAGUGUUGGCAUUAAUAACAACUCAGGAAGAUGAGGCACUGACUUUCACUGAAUGCUGCCUAUGAGCCAGGAUCUCAAGAAUAAAAAUGCUGGAAGCUUCUGGAGAGAAAAAGAAUAGUUUACCUAUAAAGGAACAAGUUUCAGGAUCAUCUCUGAUGGCCAUCCUGAUGCUCUGCCUCAAGAGUGAGGUUGAGUCAGCCCUAACAUUUCCAUACUGGUAUCAUUUUGAAGAUGGAAAGGGGAAGAAAUAUUAAUGUGGAACUUGUACUCCCUGAACACAGUCAAUCAUAAGCAGAACAGACAGUGGGAAAACCUGGAAACUGGCUGAUUUUGAAGAUCUCAUCUCCCCCACAGCAACCCUGCUGCUCCACCGUGAGAACUUUGUGGGAGAUCAGAAGGUGCUUCUCUGAGGGAGGAUCAUUUGUCUUUUGGGCAAAGCAGCUCUUUUUGUGCAGGACUGCCCCAGGCAUUGCAGGACAUUUGGCAACCCAGACCUACCCAAAAUGCUGGUAGUGCCUCUAGUCAUUGUGACAACCAGAACAUUCCCCACCCCCAUUUUCAAAUUGCUUUUUGGGGGAUAGGACCUAUUUCCCAGGAAUAAUAAAUAAUAAUUUAAAUAAUUAUUCAAAUUAUUAAGAGAAUGCUAAUUGGAAUAAUACUUCAAAAGCAAUACUGGAGUCACCGAGGACUGCACCCUCUCCUGAGAGAGGACUGGGAGUCCGAGGCUCAUGCUGUGUUUGUGUUUGUACUGUGCACACAAUUGCAGAAGGGGCUUGGACCCUGAGUGUACUGCAGCUCUGUUUUCUAAGGGAGAUGUGUGAUAGGGCAGGGCUGUGUUGGGAUGAUGCCAGGUAUGACAGUCUGUCCUUCCCUCCGGACCAGGGGAAGGGGCGGAGGGGAUUCUUGUCAUGAAAGGGACAGGCAUCAGAGACUCCAGCUAGUUCCUUUCUUAUCUUCCAGAUUAUAAUAAAUAUUUAUUCAUGCUUUCUCUUAAUAGAUACUUUUGUUCUUGCCUUGUGCAAUUAUAGGUAUUGUAAAUUAUUGUGACACACUUUAUUCCUGGCAGUGUUGGCAAUUGAGGUGUUCUGAGUAAGAAAUGACUCUAGCUAACUAGAGUUAGCCUUGUGAUAGGUCACAAAUUGUUUGGCUCUCUUCCCCUUAAAAGAUGGGUUCCACGUUCCCUUCCUUUUUAGCCGAGUUGCUUCAACUUACGGAGUACAGUGGCAGAUAUGCUGUGACUUCUGAGGCUAGCUCAGAAAGGGCCAUGUAUUUUCUUCCCUGUUCACUGGAGUCCCGAGCCACCAUAUAAGUCGUACUACUCUGGAGCAUCCUGUGGGAUUGGCCCUGUGUAGAUCCUCAGGUUAGUAGUCCUGGCUAAGCCCAUUUCCAUCCAUCUACACCAAAGUGCCAGGGAAUGUGAGUAAACCGUCUUGGACCCUCCAGGACCUUCUCUAGCUGACACCACCCAGAGACCUGUCAAUGCCUUGUGGAAGAGAAGGAUCAACCCAGGAAACCCUGCCCAGAUCCCUAACCUUCAGAAUCAUUAAAUAUAAUAAAAUAUUUCUUGUGUCAAGCCACUAAGUUUUGGGGUAAUUUGUUAUGCAGCAAGAGAUAGUUGGAAAAACUGGAAAUAGUUUUUAGGUGUUUACCUAAAGACUUCCUUAAAUCCCUAUUGGUCUUUCUUUGUGGGUGGUGGUCAUAGAGGUGUACCACUUGGAUCUCCUUCAAGCGAACCUGUUGUGGGGAGUAUAGAUGAGUGAUGAACUCUGUCUGUGUGAAUAGAUGAGCUUAGCUCCUGUAAAUCCAGAGUUAGUAGACUAGAGAGGGUGCCCUCCUUCAGGAUGCAGUGUUGGGGGUGAUGGUUUAUUCCAUUAACCUGCCUCUUCUAAGUUUUGUCUUACAGAGAACCAGGAGGACCAUGGAGUGGUAUAAGUCAGGAACCAUGGUGGCCAUGGGACAUGCCAUUCAGAUUUCCUUCAUGUGAACUUACUUCAGGGAAUAUAGUUGAUUGACCACUUCCAGCUGCUGCUGCAUAAAUACUGAGUCCAUGCCUCUCCUAUAUUGGUCCUAGCCAAUGAGUGAGCAUGGCAGGCUCAUUCCUAUCAAAUGUGGAAUUGUGGAACAGGAAUUACAGAAUUGUGCCAGUCCAUUCGUGUCCAACAUGGAAUUCCUCU